ensembl:lncRNA novel transcript
GGCCUGCUGGGGGAGGGGGCCGCGGGGGGCGGGGGAGCUCACCUCCGCCAUUCUUGUAGCACAGGCUGCAGCCGUCUCCUCCCGGUGCUCGCUCCUUCCUUGAGCUCUGUCCACCGCUGCCCACUGGGGGCUAGAGCUUCCCGGCUACCCUGGAAGCUGGAGGCUGGGACCAGCUCUUCAGGUGACAGGCCUCUGUGUCUCCACAGUGGCCAGAGGGGAGCCUGCCUGACUGAUGAGCAAGGCUCCACUUUGUCACCAAGGCAGAGAAGGGGCCCGGCUCCCUGAUCUGAUCGUGGACACUGCAGUCCCCAGAUGGCUUAUCCCGUUAAGCUAAGCCCUCGGCCAUCCCUCCAGCUUUAGGAAGAAAAGCGGUUCUGGCCCAAGCCAGACUGAGCUUCCUGGGGUCUUCUCUGGCCCAGCCUUUGACUGAAGCUGGUCUGGAGACAGGGGCGUUAGAGAAGUGACUCAUAGAUGGCCUAAAUAAGCGGGGCCACUCAAGGACCCAGGACAGGGGGAAGAGGGCCAACCCAUCUGGACCGCAGGCAAACCCCAUGGCCUUUGAGAGAAGAGAGAAGAGGACCCGGUGAAGUAGGCUCCGAGGGCCUCAGCCCAGCAGGAGCGCAGGGAGCUGCACCAGGAACUCACAGAGGAUCAGGGAGAAUUCUGAGAACAUGCUACUGUGGUGCUGCCUAGAGAGGAAGGAUAAAUGAUGACAAGUACAUCUCUGAGUAACGUAUGGGCACUUGUUCAUGAAAACUGUUUUUCUGAAAGCUUGUGAAGGUCUUGAAAUACUCGCUAUCAGUUGAGGACAAACAUUUACACCCUCCUUCCACAGGGAGUUCAAGCAGGCUGGAUGGGUCCAUCUAUGGAUGAUCUUCCCCAGCCCCUUCCUCUUCCCAGCUCAUCCCUGGCUCUCUGUGUGAACAGGUCUCAUCAGUGGAAUGUGGUUGAUGAAGUGAGGUCUUCAAUUUUCUCAUCUACUGUGUGGUCAUGUUAUUUUCCUCAUCUGAGGCUUAAAAACUCACCUGCAUGCAGCACAUGACAGCUUAAAAUCUCUUGUGAACAAAACAGUAACAAAGACACCCACCAGCGUUGAGCAUCCCGUGUUGAUGACAGCGACCACCAGGGGUCAACGUCCUCUUCACAAUCCUGUGUCAGAGCAUCACUUGACUGAUUUCAUUAGCAACUUCCCAGGAGAAUCAGCUUACAAAAUACUUGUCCCAUUUUCCAUGCAGAUGUAACCCAUCUAUUUUACUGAAGAAAUGGGAAGAGCUGAAUGCUGAAUACACUGAAUGUCUGCA